rnacentral:rRNA from 1 species
UACGGAGGGUGCAAGCGUUAAUCGGAAUUACUGGGCGUAAAGCGCGCGUAGGCGGUUUGUUAAGUCGGAUGUGAAAGCCCUGGGCUCAACCUGGGAACUGCAUACGAUACUGGCAAGCUAGAGUGCAAUAGAGGGGGGUAGAAUUCCAGGUGUAGCGGUGAAAUGCGUAGAUAUGCGGAGGAACACCGAUGGCGAAGGCAAUCCCCUGGACCUGUACUGACGCUCAUGCACGAAAGCGUGGGGAGCAAACAGG